rnacentral:rRNA from 1 species
GAUGAACGCUGGCGGCGUGCUUAACACAUGCAAGUCGAACGGCAACGCCCUGUUCUUGUGGGGUGCUCGAGUGGCGAACGGGUGAGUAACACGUGAGUAACCUGCCCUUGACUUUGGGAUAACUUCAGGGAACUGGGGCUAAUACCGGAUAGGAGCUCCUGCUGCCUGGUGGGGGUUGGACAGUUUCGGCGGUUGGGGAUGGACUCGGGGCUUAUGAGCUUGUGGGUGGGGUAGUGGCUUACCCAGGCUUAGACGGAUAGCCUGCCUGAGAGGUUAGACAGGGACCAUAGGACUAAGGUACGGCGCAGUCGGCUACGGGAGGCAACGGUGGCGAACAUGACACAGCGGGCGCGAGCGUGAUGCGACGGCGCCGCGUGCGUGAAGACGGCCUUCGGGUGAUGAACCGCUUUCGCCUAUGACCAAGCGGGAGUGACGGUAAUGGGUGAAGAAGCACCGGCUAACUACGUG